GAUGAAGAACGUAGCGAAAUGCGAUAAGUAAUGUGAAUUGCAGAAUUCAGUGAAUCAUCGAAUCUUUGAACGCACCUUGCGCCCUUUGGCCAUUCCGAAGGGCAUGCCUGUUUGAGUAUCAUGAACACCUCAACUCUCAUGGCUCGCCAUGAUGAGCUUGGAUUUGGGGGUCUUGCUGGCCUGUGGUCGGCUCCUCUCAAAUGGAUCAGCUUGCCAGUGUUUGGUGGCAUCACAGGUGUGAUAACUAUCUGCGCUGGUGGUUUUCCAUCAGAUAACCUUCAGUGAUGGAGGUUCGCUGGAGCUCAUAAACGUCUCCCCUAAGCGGGGACAGCCCUUUGAAUGUUUGAUCUCAAAUCAGGUAGGACUACCCGCUGAACUUAAGCAUAUCAAUAAGCGGAGGA
rnacentral:misc_RNA from 1 species